rnacentral:rRNA from 1 species
AGGACGAACGCUGGCGGCGUGCUUAACACAUGCAAGUCGAGGGGGCGGAGCAAUCCGUCACCGGCGAACGGGUGCGUAACACGUGAGCAACCUACCGAGAUCUGGGGGAUAGCCGGCCCAACGGCCGGGUAAUACCGGCAUACGCUCUUUCCACGGCAUUGUGGAUUGAGGAAACCUCCGGGGGAUUUCGAGGGGCUCGCGGCCUAUCAGCUAGUUGGCGAGGUCACGGCUCACCAAGGCGACGACGGGUAG